rnacentral:lncRNA from 1 species
UUAUUGUUCCGACGGACAGUUCUGGUGGAAACAGGAGAGUUGAGGUGCACAUUGAAUUCUGCCGUGAUUUGAUCAGCCGUGGUUUUAUGUUUUUUGGAUACAAUCCGGGUUAGCACCCGAACACCCCUUUCAGACAGCUUCCUCUCGUGUCCACAGUUAAUCCUGUUGGAUGUGGUUGGUCCUUCUUGGUGGUAUGCUGACAUUACCCUGGAUACCGUGGCUCUUGAUGCAUCACAAAGACUUGCUGUCUUGGUCACAGAUGCUCCAGCAAGACGUGCACCGACAAUUUAUCCUCUUUUGAACUCUGGUAUGUCACCCAUAAUGUUGUUUGCAUUGCAAUAUUUAGAGUAAAACUGUGCUCUUACCCUGCUAAUUGAACCUUCACACUCUGCUCAUACUGGUGCAAUGUGCAAUUAAUGAAGAUGGGCCACCAGGCUUGUCCAAUUUAGCCAUGAAACCACCCACACUAAAAUGACAGGUGUUUCAGUUUCAUUCUCCAACCCCUGUAUAUGUAAGUUUGAGAGACAGACACAGCUUAGAGCCCAGAAGGACUACAAGACAGAUGCUGAACAGGCUAAUUUCCUCCUGAACAGCAUCACAGGAGAGUUCCAGUGUCUGAUGGCUGGGCUAAUCUCUACUGAACCCGUGUCCUCCUGUGGACAUUUGUCCAUUUGCUAUCACUGAAAACCUCACUCACUACUGAUAUCCUUUUCCUCUUCUCCUAUUCAAAUGUUGUGUUGAACUAAUGUUUAUUUUGAUAGUUAACUAAUCUGAUUAUUUUUAAUAAUGUUUUAAUUAGUCAAUCAUUAUAUCCGCCAUGUCAUCCAUGUAUUUUAAAUGAAAGAAACUGAUGAACAUGGAAUUUAAAUGGCCUUUAAAUGCCCAAGAGAUGAUUAAAUGUGGAGAAUAUUGAUAUUUAGUGAGUAAAUAUGUAAUCUGUUGUGUUUAGGCACUUUUGGAGACGCAGACCAAGUUGAGUGUGAACUGUGUGAGUGAGCCCUUUACCCUUCUCCCAUUGUGUUUCUGUCUUUAGCAGUGUGUAAUGCAUUGCUGUUACAAAUGAAUGAUUAUUUGACAAAUUAUUUGACAAAUUUGGACUGAAAUUCACCAAAGGUUUUAUUUUAAAACUGUCAUCUAUAUCGACUAAUUGCUUCAGCCCUAAAUGGAUUGAAGUAAGUGCAUUAAUUCCUAGACUGAGUAGCAUUACCAGAUAUGUGUCAGAUUUUAGCAUCAUAAAAUGUCAGAUUCAGUGUGUUUUUUGCUGUUUACCAUUUGGAACUCAUUCCAUGAUACAAGAACUGAAAGACUCAGUGUGUGAGUUUGCAUUAGAUUGUGAGUUUAGAGAGUCUUUCAGUUCGUGUUUGUGUUGUUUUUGCCCAUUCUUGGUUGCAAAAGUCUUCUAGUUCUUAUUUUUGGGGCAUCUUGUUGUACGACUCUUUCGAUGUCUA